UUGAACUGAAGAGUUUGAUCAUGGCUCAGAUUGAACGCUGGCGGCAGGCCUAACACAUGCAAGUCGAGCGGAUGAAGGGAGCUUGCUUCUGGAUUCAGCGGCGGACGGGUGAGUAAUGCCUAGGAAUCUGCCUGGUAGUGGGGGACAA
rnacentral:rRNA from 1 species